UGCUGCUGUAAUGUAUAGCAUGGCAACUAUGAUGGCAAUAAUACUCUAUUGCAUCUUUGAACAUCGUUAACAAAGCAAAGUUUAAAAGUUCUUACCACAAGCAAAAAAAUACUGUAAUAUGUGUGGUGAUGGAUGUUAACUAGACUUAUUUUGGCAACCCUUCCACAAUAUAUACAAAUAUCAAAUAAUUAAGUUCUGCACUUGAAACUAAUGUUGUAUGUCAAUUAUACCUCAAUUUUAAAGUGUCCAUUAAUAAAUAUAUCAUUCUGUUCACUCUGACCUAAGGCCCUCAUAGGGUGAAAAGACCAGUAGCGUUUCUUCAUGAUGGGGAGGUUUUCUAAUAACACAGGAUCACAUAGCUCUAUAUGAAAAUAUUUAAAAACUAACCUCAAGGGACAUUUGGUACAAAUACUAUUUAUACUAUGCAAAUACUUUUAAAAAGUACUGCAGUUUCUGAGAAGUUGAUCAUAAGACAGAUUAGGAGGAAGAAAAAAAAUCCAGACCAGCAAUUUACAAAUCAGCUCCUCUAGGACAGAAGAUGUACUUAACAAACAAACUUUUUUCAAGACACAGAGACCCAGAUCAGACUUCUUCCAUGGCUGCGCUUGCUGGUCUCCACACAAUGAGAAAUAGAUACUUAAGGUUGCUGCCAGGAUUUGGUUCUUCAUCUGAGGUGACAUUCACUGGCCCCUUGGAGAGUUGUGAUGGUAUGGAGCCUUGGGGUGGUAGAAAUGUUCACACAAAUUUGGGGAGAGAUUGUGGUGCAUCCAUAGCCUUCAACCCUAAGAGAAGAACGGAGGCACUUUUCAAUAAAGCAGAGACUUUAGAAUAAGAAUGUAUAAGUGAAAUGGGCAAUCAGGUUUGCAUGAUGAGUAGAUAGAGAGUUAAUUUUUUUCUUUUAAUUUUAUAGGCUAUGAAAAGUUUAUAGUUUUAUGAGGUUUCAAGGUAGCCUUAUUUUUUUAAUUAUCAAAUUUGAGCUCAAAGAGAUUGAGUGACUUGUUCCAAAGUCACACAACUAAUAAAGUGGUAGAAACAGAUCCA
rnacentral:lncRNA from 1 species